GUACUUGCUUUGGCAGCACAAAUACUAAAAUUGGAAAUGAUACAGAGAAGAUUAUUAGCAUGGCCCCUGCUCAAGGGUAACACACAAACUCAUGAAGCAUUCCAUAUUUUU